UGAAAAAGAACCUGAAACCGUGUACGUACAAGCAGUGGGAGCACCCUUUGGGGUGUGACUGCGUACCUUUUGUAUAAUGGGUCAGCGACUUAUAUUCUGUAGCAAGGUUAACCGUAUAGGGGAGCCGGAGGGAAACCGAGUCUUAACCGGGCGUUAAGUUGCAGGGUAUAGACCCGAAACCCGGUGAUCUAGCCAUGGGCAGGUUGAAGGUUGGGUAACACUAACUGGAGGACCGAACCGACUAAUGUGGAAAAA
rnacentral:rRNA from 1 species